GGACUACCCGGGUAUCUAAUCCUGUUUGCUCCCCUAGCUUUCGUGCCUCAGUGUCAGGAAGUGUCCAGGGACUCGCCUUCGCCACUGGUGUUCCACUUGAUAUCUACGCAUUUCACUGCUACACCAAGUAUUCCAGUCCCCCCUCCACUCCUCUAGCCAGAUAGUAUCCAAUGCAGUUUCUGGGUUGAGCCCAGAGAUUUCACAUCAGACUUACCUGACCACCUACGCACCCUUUACGCCCAGUGAAUCCGAACAACGCUUGGGACCUCUGUAUUACCGCGGCUGCUGGCAC
rnacentral:rRNA from 1 species